GCGGCCUCUGUUCUAAACUUUCUACAGUUUCAACAUGGCAAACUACAGUAAAGGAAUGUUGUUGUUCCUCCUUGUCUGCCUUGUGUCUGCAGCAAUUGCAGAUCCAAUGAGAGCAAACAUUAUCGGCAGCAGCUUAUCAGUACGAAUACCACAAAUAGAGAUUUAGCAGCGAAACAGAGGCAAGAUAGAAACAAGAACCAAAUGGAUAAUAAAACACCUUAACUAUCUAA